rnacentral:lncRNA from 1 species
UGGGUAUUUAGCCUCUCACUCUGGCUCUGCGCCCUGUGAGUCUUAAUUAACACCAUUCUCCUGGGUAAGCGGUUACCCUGCCAGGAGCUACCCUGGCCUCUGCUGCUUUCCACAGAUGAUGCUUGCUGCUCUGUCCCCUUUUGCCUGCAGCCCAAUCUGGCCAAGGGAAGGAUAUUUCAGCUGUUGGCUCGGUGGCCACUCCACAAUUGCUGUUCAGCGACAUGGCAACACCCUUCCCCUUCUGCCAGGCACCAGCUGCUGCAUGCUGGGAAAAGAGGAACUUAAAAUUGUUCUUGGCUGAGUCUUUCAGCAACUUGGCAGCCCUGAACUCAUGGAUAUUUUGAUACUUACCACACCCUGCCUGUCUCACCUACACUUCCUUGACUGAUACUAAGAUGCUGCAACUAGUAUUAGCUCUGGCCUUUCCUACAAUAUUGAAGUUCCUGUUUGCUCUGUGUCUCUUCUCUGGCUCUGAAGAUGGGCACUGAUGAUGAGAGUUCUCUUUUCAUUCCGAGAAUCUUCUACAACAUGACCCGAACACCACAGGACUCUGUUGGUGUUUGGUACAGGUAUUCUGCAAGCCACCUACAGCCACGUUGGUUGAAACGGGAUCAAAGAAAAGGAAUGUUGAAUCAUUUUUUCCAUAUAAAUAUCCGUGUUGAAUCCAGUGUUAGUUCCAGAAAAGACAACCCCCUCUUUCUCCGAAUUGUUAGCCUCUUCGUGAACUCGGAAACUACGUGUUUGUGAUUCUGGCUCAAGGGCAAGAGAAUCAAGCACAGAUGGAGACAAAACUUUUCUUCCUAUUGGUCCACUUAUCCCAGGUCUCUCCUUCGGAGCCCCCCCUCUCCCUGCAUCUAUGAGGGUGCUCCCCCACCCACUCACUCCUGUCUUCCCUCCCUGGCAUUCUCCUACACUGGGGCAUCGAACACCCUCAGACCCAAGGGCCUCUUCUCCCACUGAUGUCCAACAAGGCCAUCCUCUGCCACAUAUGCGGCCAAUGCCAUGGGUCCCUCCAUGUGUAUUCUUUGGUUGGUGGUCUAGUCCCCAGGAGCUCUGAGGGGUCUGGCUGUUUGACACUGUUGUUCACUCCAUGGGGCUGCAGCCCCCCUCAGCUCCUUUAGUCCCUUCUCCAACUCCUCCAUCAGGGACCCCGCAC